rnacentral:rRNA from 1 species
GACGAACGCUGGCGGCGUGCCUAACACAUGCAAGUCGAGCGGGGAUUUAAGUGGAAGUUCUUCGGAAUGGAGAUUUAAAUUCUAGCGGCGGACGGGUGAGUAACGCGUGAACAAUCUGUCCCGGACAGGGGGAUAACACUUGGAAACAGGUGCUAAUACCGCAUAAGACCACGGCCUCGCAUGGGGCUGAGGUAAAAGGAGCAAUCCGGUUCGGGGUGAGUUCGCGUCCGAUUAGCUAGUUGGUGAGGUCACGGCCCACCAAGGCGACGAUCGGUAGCCGGCCUGAGAGGGUGAACGGCCACAUUGGAACUGAGAGCCGGUCCAAACUCCUACGGGAGGCAGCAGUGGGGAAUAUUGGGCAAUGGGCGAAAGCCUGACCCAGCAACGCCGCGUGAGGGAAGAAGGUUUUCGGAUUGUAAACCUCUGUCCUAUGGGACGAAGGAAGUGACGGUACCAUAGGAGGAAGCCCCGGCUAACUACGUG